UCCGGCUGACCGGAAGACCGAAAAUGUAACACACCCUCGCUAUUCCCCCAGACCCGUGGCGUUUCAGCUGAAACCCAAAAAUAGCAAUUAGGCGUCCUGUGGCUUUGAGGACAAGGGCAGGUGAACUUUUGAGGGCGAGAGUGGGAGAAAACCAGACAGGAAAUGUGGAGGAAGGAAGGAAUGUUGAGGUGUGAACAAAGGAUAGAAAAACGUAACAUUUAAA
rnacentral:lncRNA from 10 species